UCCUGCAUUCAAAUGGCAGAAAAUAGUAAUCAAGAACAGGCUUUUCUUUUCACAGUGUUCCACAGCGCCUUCUCCCACGGGAUCCGAACAGAAAGAGCCGCCUGUUUAAUCAUGAACAAUACUAUUUUCAGCACAUGGAUGAAGCAAUGUUUCAUGUAUCAGAAGAGCAGCUAGAUAACUGCUAACUGCAGGUUAAGUGCUUCAACACCCAUUGUUUUACAAAAACAGUAAUAAAACUAACACUUAUUACACUUAAAAUACACUUAUUAAACACAGAAAGCAAAACUUCAUACCUUCUCCCACGGGAUCCGAAC